rnacentral:rRNA from 1 species
UACGUAGGGUGCAAGCGUUAAUCGGAAUUACUGGGCGUAAAGCGUGCGCAGGCGGUUUUGUAAGUCUGUCGUGAAAGCCCCGGGCUCAACCUGGGAAUGGCGAUGGAGACUGCAAGGCUAGAGUGUGUCAGAGGGGGGUAGAAUUCCACGUGUAGCAGUGAAAUGCGUAGAGAUGUGGAGGAACACCGAUGGCGAAGGCAGCCCCCUGGGAUAACACUGACGCUCAGGCACGAAAGCGUGGGGAGCAAACAGG